rnacentral:rRNA from 1 species
UACGUAGGGUGCAAGCGUUAAUCGGAAUUACUGGGCGUAAAGCGUGCGCAGGCGGUUCGCUAAGACCGAUGUGAAAUCCCCGGGCUCAACCUGGGAACUGCAUUGGUGACUGGCGGGCUAGAGUAUGGCAGAGGGGGGUAGAAUUCCACGUGUAGCAGUGAAAUGCGUAGAGAUGUGGAGGAAUACCGAUGGCGAAGGCAGCCCCCUGGGCCAAUACUGACGCUCAUGCACGAAAGCGUGGGGAGCAAACAGG